rnacentral:rRNA from 1 species
GAGUGGCGAACUGGUGAGUAACACGUGGGAAACCUGCCCAGAAGCGGGGGAUAACACCUGGAAACAGAUGCUAAUACCGCAUAACAACUUGGACCGCAUGGUCCGAGCUUGAAAGAUGGCUUCGGCUAUCACUUUUGGAUGGUCCCGCGGCGUAUUAGCUAGAUGGUGGGGUAACGGCUCACCAUGGCAAUGAUACGUAGCCGACCUGAGAGGGUAAUCGGCCACAUUGGGACUGAGACACGGCCCAAACUCCUACGGGAGGCAGCAGUAGGGAAUCUUCCACAAUGGACGAAAGUCUGAUGGAGCAACGCCGCGUGAGUGAAGAAGGGUUUCGGCUCGUAAAACUCUGUUGUUAAAGAAGAACAUAUCUGAGAGUAACUGUUCAGGUAUUGACGGUAUUUAACCAGAAAGCCACGGCUAACUACGUGCCAGCAGCCGCGGUAAUACGUAGAUGGCAAGCGUCGUCCGGAUUUAUUGGGCGUAAAGCGAGCGCAGGCGGUUUUUUCAAGUCUGAUGUGAAAGCCUUCGGCUCAACCGAAGAAGUGCAUCGGAAACUGGGAAACUUGAGUGCAGAAGAGGACAGUGGAACUCCAUGUGUAGCGGUGAAAUGCGUAGAUAUAUGGAAGAACACCAGUGGCGAAGGCGGCUGUCUGGUCUGUAACUGACGCUGAGGCUCGAAAGUAUGGGUAGCAAACAGGAUUAGAUACCCUGGUAGUCCAUACCGUAAACGAUGAAUGCUAAGUGUUGGAGGGUUUCCGCCCUUCAGUGCUGCAGCUAACGCAUUAAGCAUUCCGCCUGGGGAGUACGGCCGCAAGGCUGAAACUCAAAGGAAUUGACGGGGGCCCGCACAAGCGGUGGAGCAUGUGGUUUAAUUCGAAGCUACGCGAAGAACCUUACCAGGUCUUGACAUACUAUGCAAAUCUAAGAGAUUAGACGUUCCCUUCGGGGACAUGGAUACAGGUGGUGCAUGGUUGUCGUCAGCUCGUGUCGUGAGAUGUUGGGUUAAGUCCCGCAACGAGCGCAACCCUUAUUAUCAGUUGCCAGCAUUAAGUUGGGCACUCUGGUGAGACUGCCGGUGACAAACCGGAGGAAGGUGGGGAUGACGUCAAAUCAUCAUGCCCCUUAUGACCUGGGCUACACACGUGCUACAAUGGAUGGUACAACGAGUUGCGAACUCGCGAGAGUAAGCUAAUCUCUUAAAGCCAUUCUCAGUUCGGAUUGUAGGCUGCAACUCGCCUACAUGAAGUCGGAAUCGCUAGUAAUCGCGGAUCAGCAUGCCGCGGUGAAUACGUUCCCGGGCCUUGUACACACCGCCCGUCACACCAUGAGAGUUUGUAACACCCAAAGUCGGUGGGGUAAC